rnacentral:snRNA from 2 species
GUCCCUUCGGGGACAUCUGAUAAAAUUGGAACGAUAUAGAGAAAAUUAGCAUGGCUUCUGUGCAAGGAUGACGCACAAAGUGAAAAAUGGUCCAAAAAAAUUUUUU